UGUGUGUGUGUGUGUGUGUGUGCAUAUAUAUAUAUAUAUAUAUAUAUAUAUAUAUAUAUAUAUAUGGACUAUGCACACU